rnacentral:rRNA from 1 species
AGAGUUUGAUCCUGGCUCAGAUUGAACGCUGGCGGCAGGCCUAACACAUGCAAGUCGAACGGUAGCACAGAGGAGCUUGCUCCUUGGGUGACGAGUGGCGGACGGGUGAGUAAUGUCUGGGAAACUGCCCGAUGGAGGGGGAUAACUACUGGAAACGGUAGCUAAUACCGCAUAACGUCGCAAGACCGAAGAGGGGGACCUUCGGGCCUCUUGCCAUCGGAUGUGCCCAGAUGGGAUUAGCUAGUAGGUGGGGUAACGGCUCACCUAGGCGACGAUCCCUAGCUGGUCUGAGAGGAUGACCAGCCACACUGGAACUGAGACACGGUCCAGACUCCUACGGGAGGCAGCAGUGGGGAAUAUUGCACAAUGGGCGCAAGCCUGAUGCAGCCAUGCCGCGUGUAUGAAGAAGGCCUUCGGGUUGUAAAGUACUUUCAGCGAGGAGGAAGGCGUUGUGGUUAAUAACCGCAACGAUUGACGUUACUCGCAGAAGAAGCACCGGCUAACUCCGUGCCAGCCGCCGCGGUAAAAGGG